GGGGCCCGCACAAGCGGUGGAGCAUGUGGUUUAAUUCGACGCAACGCGAAGAACCUUACCAGGGCUUGACAUCCCCUGACCGCGUAUGAAAGUACGUUUUCACCCUCGGGUGACAGGGAGACAGGUGGUGCAUGGUUGUCGUCAGCUCGUGUCGUGAGAUGUUGGGUUAAGUCCCGCAACGAGCGCAACCCCUACGUUUAGUUGCUAACGCGUGAAGGCGAGCACUCUAGACGAACUGCCGUUGACAAAACGGAGGAAGUGGGGAUGACGUCAAAUCAUCAUGCCCCUUAUGUUCUGGGCUACACACGUGCUACAAUGGCCGGUACAGACGGACGCAAAGCCGCGAGGUGGAGCAAAUCCUAAAAAGCCGGUCUCAGUUCGGAUUGCAGGCUGCAAUUCGCCUGCAUGAAGUCGGAAUCGCUAGUAAUCGCAGGUCAGCAUACUGCGGUGAAUACGUUCCCGGGCCUU
rnacentral:rRNA from 1 species